rnacentral:rRNA from 1 species
AUGGUGGUGGUAGGAGAACUAGGCGUUGGGGUUUCAGUCAUGGGGUGGUUCCUAGCGCCUCACAUCACCAAGCUCAUGGAGAUUGCACGGGAGUGCGCAGCCUCCAAGUGCAUGCUCUACGGGGACAGCACGGAGAUGCUGCAAAAACUGGCGGACGAUCUAUAUGACAUCAAGUGGCACCUCGACCCAGACAGCACCGACUUCGUCAACGACCAGGGCAAGCUUGACCGGCUAUGGCGGCUCAAAGACGACGUCCACCGCGUGGAGGAGAUCUUGGACCUGUUUCAGCUGGAGAUCCAUGACAUCGAGACAACCGGUAAUUACAUAACAAGAAAUAAGAAGCGCCUGCACGGCAAGAAAGUUGAGUUGUCGCGUCAGCUGGUGAAAGUGCUCAAGAAUCUAGACGAGACCCGGGACAGGGCGCGGGAACUCCGACAUGGCGCAGGCCCUUCCAUGUCGCCAAAAGCAGAAACUGGCCAGCACACCAUGAGGGACAAGAGGAGCUUCUUCGGGUACCAGGACGAGUAUGCCCAGCUGGUCUCUAUGUUGUGGCCGCAGCAGAAUGGCCACAAGCUGGUGAAGGUGGACGCCAAGGCGCGGCGGGUUAUCGCCAUCGUCGGCCAUGCCGGGAUGGGGAAGACAGAGCUUGCUCGCCAGGUGUUUCGGGACGCCAAAGGAAAGUUUGAUCUUUGCAUAUGGGUGCACGCCUAUGGCAAGAACAAGGAGUUGGACCUCCUGAAAGAGAUCUGGAGGUCUGCUGAUAGGCCUGUCGGCGAUAUGAACGUCUCAAGCCUUCAGAAGAAGAUGGAAAACCUAUUGGCAUCCAAGAGGUGCCUUCUGGUGCUCGAUGAUGUAUGGAACCAUGAGUUGGCGACCAACGAGGAGGAGAGGGAGCAGGCAUCGCUGGCGCUGGAAUCAAUAAUGAGCUUUGCCCAAGGUGGAAGCCGAAUCGUGAUGACGACUCGUGCCAAGAUUUGUUCAGUGACAUUCAAAGCAGCUGCAAGCAUCAUCCUAAAUGGAAUCAAACCCAAGGAGAUGACACUUCUACUCAACCACACCGCCAAGCUAAGGACCGAUGGUACUAUUGACAAUGAUGACAAAAAAAUUCAACAGCUCGUAAACAAGCAGGUGUCCAAGAUGAAGGGGUCCCCGUUGGCGGCCGUGGAGAUCGGCCACGAGUUGAGGAAACAAACCACAGUUGACAAGAGGUGCGACAUAUUGCACAACGUUGAGCAUCAUUUGGACACCGUGUUACAGGCCCAUCUGUUCACGUAUCGCCAUCUCUUGCCGCGCCUGCAGCGCUGCUUCGAGUUCUGCAGCAUAUUCCCAUACAAUUGGAGGUUCGAGGCUGAGAAGUUGACCAAGAUGUGGAUAGCUCAUGGUUUCGUCGAGGAGGACGCCCAACAAGAAGGUCGGAGCAUGGAGGAUGUCGCCACAGACUACUUCCAUAGCCUGGUGGAUCGUUCAUUGUUCCAAGAAGAAGGAGGCGAACCAGCUGGAGGCAACGGGACGACCUAUGUGAUCCAUGAGCAGGUCCAUUGGAUGAUACGCAUGGCCUCUACCAAGAACUGCAUCAGCAUCUCCGGCACAGCAGUGAGAAGCAUCCCUCCCACAGUUCGUCACUUGUCUGUCACCAGCAGCUCUCUUGAUCAGCUCAAGGCAUAUCCUAAAAUCAUAGUACUCAGCAAUAUGAGGACCCUGCUAGUCCUACAGAGCAAUCAUGGUGAUGAUGAUGAUGAUGAUUCAACAUCAUCGACGCCCUUGAUCAGUACAGUUGACAGAGUACUCCAGUUGACAAGGGUAUACUCAAACUGUUCAAGGGCGUGA